rnacentral:rRNA from 1 species
GACGAACGCUGGCGGCGUGCUUAACACAUGCAAGUCGAACGGAAAGGCCCUGCUUGCAGGGUACUCGAGUGGCGAACGGGUGAGUAACACGUGGGUGAUCUGCCCUGCACUUCGGGAUAAGCCUGGGAAACUGGGUCUAAUACCGGAUAGGAGCCAUUUUUAGUGUGAUGGUUGGAAAGUUUUUUCGGUGUAGGAUGAGCUCGCGGCCUAUCAGCUUGUUGGUGGGGUAAUGGCCUACCAAGGCGGCGACGGGUAGCCGGCCUGAGAGGGUGGACGGCCACAUUGGGACUGAGAUACGGCCCAGACUCCUACGGGAGGCAGCAGUGGGGAAUAUUGCACAAUGGGCGCAAGCCUGAUGCAGCGACGCCGCGUGGGGGAUGACGGCCUUCGGGUUGUAAACUCCUUUCGCUAGGGACGAAGCUUUUUGUGACGGUACCUAGAUAAGAAGCACCGGCUAACUACG